UACGGAGGGUGCAAGCGUUGUUCGGAAUUAUUGGGCGUAAAGCGCGCGCAGGCGGUGGAAUCAGUCCAUGGGUGAAAUGCCGGAGCUCAACUCCGUGCCCGCCCAGGAUACUGUUUCACUGGAGACACGUAGAGGCUGGCGGAAUUCCGGGUGUAGCGGUGGAAUGCGUAGAGAUCCGGAAGAACACCGGAGGCGAAGGCGGCCAGCUGGGCGUGGUCUGACGCUGAGGCGCGAAGGCGUGGGGAGCGAACAGG
rnacentral:rRNA from 1 species